GUAGGGAAUAUUGCGCAAUGGAGGCAACUCUGACGCAGCCAUGCCGCGUGCAGGAAGAAGGCGCUACGCGUUGUAAACUGCUUUUAACCGGGAAGAAACCCCAGGACGUGUCCUGGGUUGACGGUACCGGAGGAAUAAGCACCGGCUAACUUCGUGCCAGCAGCCGCGGUAAUACGAAGGGUGCAAGCGUUAUCCGGAUUCAUUGGGUUUAAAGGGUGCGUAGGAGGAGCGUUAAGUCAGUGGUGAAAUCCUGCAGCUUAACUGUAGACUUGCCAUUGAUACUGGCGCUCUUGAGUGCGCUUGAAGUGGGCGGAAUGUGCCGUGUAGCGGUGAAAUGCUUAGAUAUGGCACAGAACACCAAUUGCGAAGGCAGCUCACUAAGGCGAUACUGACGCUGAGGCACGAAAGCGUGGGGAUCGAACAGGAUUAGAUACCCCAGUAGUCC
rnacentral:rRNA from 1 species